rnacentral:rRNA from 1 species
AUUGAACGCUGGCGGCAGGCCUAACACAUGCAAGUCGAGCGGAUGAAGGGAGCUUGCUCCUGGAUUUAGCGGCGGACGGGUGAGUAAUGCCUAGGAAUCUGCCUGGUCGUGGGGGAUAACGUCCGGACACGGGCGCUAAUACCGCAUCCGUCCUGAGGGAGAAAGUGGUGGAUCUUCGGACCUCACGCUAUCAGAUGAGCCUAGGUCGGAUUAGCUAGUUGGUGGGGUAAAGGCCUACCAAGGCGACGAUCCGUAACUGGUCUGAGAGGAUGAUCAGUCACACUGGAACUGAGACACGGUCCAGACUCCUACGGGAGGCAGCAGUGGGGAAUAUUGGACAAUGGGCGAAAGCCUGAUCCAGCCAUGCCGCGUGUGUGAAGAAGGUCUUCGGAUUGUAAAGCACUUUAAGUUGGGAGGAAGGGCAGUAAGUUAAUACAUUGCUGUUUUGACGUUACCAACAGAAUAAGCACCGGCUAACUUCGUG